rnacentral:rRNA from 1 species
UACGUAGGGGGCGAGCGUUGUCCGGAUUCAUUGGGCGUAAAGGGUGCGUAGGCGGCGCGGUAAGUCGGGUGUGAAAUCUCGGAGCUUAACUCCGAAACUGCAUUCGAUACUGCCGUGCUUGAGGACUGGAGAGGAGACUGGAAUUUACGGUGUAGCGGUGAAAUGCGUAGAUAUCGUAAGGAAGACCAGUGCGAAGGCGGGUCUCUGGACAGUUCCUGACGCUGAGGCACGAAGGCCAGGGGAGCAAACGGG